GUCUACGGCCAUACCAUCGAGAAAACACCGGUUCUCGUCCGAUCACCGAAGUUAAGCUCGAUUGGGCGCGGUUAGUACUUGGAUGGGUGAC
rnacentral:rRNA from 1 species